GUCCAGACUCCUACGGGAGGCAGCAGUGGGGAAUAUUGCACAAUGGGGGAAACCCUGAUGCAGCAACGCCGCGUGAGUGAAGAAGCGUUUCGGCGCGUAAAGCUCUGUCAGCGGGGAAGAAAGAAGACGGUACCCGACCAAGAAGCCCCGGCUAACUACGUGCCAGCAGCCGCGGUAAUACGUAGGGGGCGAGCGUUAUCCGGAUUUACUGGGUGUAAAGGGAGCGUAGACGGCUAUGCAAGUCUGGAGUGAAAGGCGGGGGCCCAACCCCCGGACUGCUCUGGAAACUGUAGAGCUAGAGUGCAGGAGAGGUAAGUGGGAUUCCUAGUGUAGCGGUGAAAUGCGUAGAUAUUAGGAGGAACACCAGUGGCGAAGGCGGCUUACUGGACUGUAACUGACGUUGAGGCUCGAAAGCGUGGGGAGCAAACAGGAUUAGAUACCCCAGUAAC
rnacentral:rRNA from 1 species